CGGUGUGAGGAGGACACAUGUGGGUGCAGUGUGAUAGUAGAAUAUGCUGCAUAAUGUGUGGCCUCCCCACACUGU
rfam:Ornithorhynchus anatinus chromosome X1, whole genome shotgun sequence.